rnacentral:rRNA from 1 species
AUUGAACGCUGGCGGAAUGCUUUACACAUGCAAGUCGAACGGCAGCACGGACUUCGGUCUGGUGGCGAGUGGCGAACGGGUGAGUAAUAUAUCGGAACGUGCCCAGUCGUGGGGGAUAACGUAGCGAAAGCUACGCUAAUACCGCAUACGAUCUACGGAUGAAAGCGGGGGAUCGCAAGACCUCGCGCGAUUGGAGCGGCCGAUAUCAGAUUAGGUAGUUGGUGAGGUAAAGGCUCACCAAGCCGACGAUCUGUAGCUGGUCUGAGAGGACGACCAGCCACACUGGGACUGGGACACGGCCCAGACUCCUACGGGAGGCAGCAGUGGGGAAUUUUGGACAAUGGACGCAAGUCUGAUCCAGCCAUUCCGCGUGCAGGACGAAGGCCUUCGGGUUGUAAACUGCUUUUGUACAGAACGAAAAGGUCUCUAUUAAUACUAGGGGCUCAUGACGGUACUGUAAGAAUAAGCACCGGCUAACUACGUGCCAGCCGCCGCCGUAACAC